UAGUCAGCUGACUUAAAACUACUCAUACAUCAAAAUAGUAGUUAGUGGCUACACUGUACUACACCUGCUUAUUUAUUGAAUUGAGCGCUCAGUAAUCAAUCACUAAUCAUAAAGCUAUGAGUUAGAAUGCACUUGUCUCAGGAACUACUAGUCUGAAAUUUGAAAUUAAUUUUCAGUUUUAGUAAACCCCUUUAUCGAGUAGUGUAGAGCGGAGUAGACCUUAUGCAUGCGACAGGGCCGAAUCAACGAACGGAAGCCAUUCAAGCUAUUAGACAGUAGGGUAUACAAUUUCCAUGAAGCUUUUAAAUUGGAGUAUUCGUGAGAAAGGUUUCAGCGUAUUAUUUCGACAAGCAUCUAAUAUAAUUAUGUAUAACUUUACAUAGUAAUGGUGUACAUGGUUAUAAAUUAAAAAAUAAAUUGGUAUUUGAUAUAAUAACAUUCAAA